CACGUAGGCUGUUGUGUAAGUCAGGGGUGAAAUCCCACGGCUCAACCGUGGAACUGCCUUUGAUACUGCACGACUUGAAUCCGGGAGAGGGUGGCGGAAUUCCAGGUGUAGGAGUGAAAUCCGUAGAUAUCUGGAGGAACAUCAGUGGCGAAGGCGGCCACCUGGACCGGUAUUGACGCUGAGGUGCGAAAGCGUGGGGAGCAAACA
rnacentral:rRNA from 1 species